rnacentral:snoRNA from 1 species
AUGAUCUUACUUGAACAGGGUCUAUUCUAUAGGCUCGUACCUCUGUGUCCGUAAGUUCAAAGGAGACAGGAUUCAAAGUCUAGUUGAUGAACCACGACUGUGUGAUCUGAGCGUGAUUACUGGUCAGGUGAUAACCUUGCUGGUUUCACUUCAAUCGCAGAGGAUCGUUCUCAGCUUGCCUUGUGCGUCUGGGAAGGUCAUGCAGUUGUCUGACAGACU